rnacentral:rRNA from 1 species
GUUAGGAAUAUUGGACAAUGGGCGCAAGCCUGAUCCAGCCAUGCCGCGUGAGUGAUGAAGGCCUUCGGGUUGUAAAGCUCUUUAGUCCACGAAUAUAAUGACUGUAGUGGAAGAAUAAGCCCCGGCUAACUUCGUGCCAGCAGCCGCGGUAAUACGAAGGGGGCGAGCGUUAUUCGGAAUCACUGGGCGUAAAGCGUGCGUAGGCUGUUUUGUAAGUCAGAAGUGAAAGCACAGGGCUUAACCCUGGAAUUGCUUUGGAAACUACAAGACUCGAAUUCGGGAGAGGAUAGCGGAAUUGUCAGUGUAGCAGUGAAAUGCGUAGAUAUUGACAGGAACACCAGUGGCGCAAGCGGCUAUCUGGACCGAUAUUGACGCUGAGGCACGAAAGCGUGGGGAGCAAACAGGAUUAGAAACCCGAGUAGUCC